UGGGGAAUUUUGGACAAUGGGCGAAAGCCUGAUCCAGCCAUGCCGCGUGCAGGAUGAAGGCCUUCGGGUUGUAAACUGCUUUUGUACGGAACGAAAAGGUCUUUUCUAAUAAAGAAGGCUCAUUACGGUACCGUAAGAAUAAGCACCGGCUAACUACGUGCCAGCAGCCGCGGUAAUACGUAGGGUGCAAGCGUUAAUCGGAAUUACUGGGCGUAAAGCGUGCGCAGGCGGUUAUAUAAGACAGAUGUGAAAUCCCCGGGCUCAACCUGGGAACUGCAUUAGUGACUGUAUAGCUAGAGUGCGGCAGAGGGGGAUGGAAUUCCGCGUGUAGCAGUGAAAUGCGUAGAUAUGCGGAGGAACACCGAUGGCGAAGGCAAUCCCCUGGGCCUGCACUGACGCUCAUGCACGAAAGCGUGGGGAGCAAACA
rnacentral:rRNA from 1 species